UUAAUAGUUUUUCAUAGGACAGAUCUGGCUUUCUCAGUAGCAGCUUGUGCUAUCACAUUCUGGUUAAGCUGACACAGAGAAACAUAAAGAUACCUCUCAUAAGAGCAAGAAGUUCCUCUGGUGCUCCUGAAAUAUCUCAUCCUGGCUACAAUUUUUAGAGGAGCCACAGAACAACUGACACUGCUGCUUCACCUCAUCAGACAGGACUCCUCAUCUCCCACGAAGCAGCCUGUAAAAGCCUACUUCUUGCUGCUCCAUGGAGCAGUCAGGCUGUGAAUCCUCUGCAGUGCUCUGGGGUUAAGGAGGAUGGCGUGAAAAAGAAGCCACAGAAAGAACACCUGUGCAAAUAACAGGAGGAAAUAUUGUUUUGGGAACACAAGAACUAAUUGUUGGAUGUUGUGGCUGUGUGGAAAAUUAGAUCACCCUAAUUUUUCAUACUAUUUUAAGACCAGGUAACUAAUCACAAACCAGUAGUGUAAUAAGGUCAGAGAGUUUUUUGGGGCUGUUAGACAAGUCAUAGACACCUGUGCAAGUGGGAGAGCUCCCAAGAUGUGUGAGUUCAGUAAGGAGGAGCUCAGCAAGGUUUUUGCUUGAUAUCCUACCAUAUUAACACUUCAUUUUGUGCAUUUUCUGAUUAAUCAUAAAAUCUCAUCCAGCUGACUUCCAAAGCCAACUGGGCCAGGUAGUCCUCUGUUCCUUAGAUACAGAGCCUCUCCCUUUCCCUCUCCAAUAGAAAUUCUCCAGGAACUGUCUGAUGUAAAUCAUGCCAAGGUGCCACUGGGCUGAAUUUCUUGCUAGAAUUUUAGUAUUUCUCAGGAUUUGACUUGUUCCUUAUAAAGACAAUUAUGCAAACCCUCUGCUCUACCUUUUCUCCUUGCCGUGUAGAAGUUUGAACACUACUGUAUCUUACUGGAUUAUUUUCUCUCUUUUUUUUUUUUUCUUUUUAUUUUCUUCUAUUUUAAUGCUGUUUUGACAGCCAGUCAAUUUUUUACCUUCCUUUGAAGAAACUACUCAAAAGGGCAGGAGCACAUGAGCUAACUUCAGGGUUGGUAAAGGAGAGGUAUUUUUAGAGUAAAGGGAACACAAAAAAGAACUGUUUUAUUUACUGUAAAAAACUGUGGAGGUCCUUAG
rnacentral:lncRNA from 1 species